rnacentral:piRNA from 1 species
UGUCUAAAAGCAUAUUACAUGGAGGC